rnacentral:lncRNA from 10 species
ACAAAGUCCAGUAGCAGUCUUAGCAUUAAGCAAGGCUGGAUUCCAGAGCUUAAAUUAUCCUCUGGUUCUUGCAAAGAUUGACAUCAACUACUUUGGGUUACUUGGUCCUUGCCUUUAGCCAAAGGAGAGAAAUAGCUUCCUGAGUAGCUCUGGUUGGUCCAGCUCGGACCUUGCCUUUCCUUCCCUGAGCCAGUCUCUGGAACCAAAGGAAUAAUGCACUCUGACUGGACAGUCUGCAUCUGAUAGAGACAAAACAAGGCCACCUAGGGAAGAGGCAGUUCCAGACUGGGGAAGAUUCUGGGAAAAAAAAAAGAUAUCUACAAUACUAUGUGUAUAAACUCACCCACAAAAAUCCUAGUAGCACUAACACUGUCUUAAUUUCUCCAUUAGGAAUCAGAAAAACCUUUAAUGAAGAGUGACGGAGAGAAUGGCCUGUGAUUGGAUUGUGAGCCUGUUUCUGCCACCAGGCAGCCCCUCUGCAGGCAUCUCCCUCCCACCUGACCCGUGGUCUGUGCGAGUGCAAGUUAAAAGGGUCAUUUCCUUGCCUCAGAGCUGAUCUCAGCCUUAGAUACUUUCCAGUUUCUCUGCUACCUGUCAUUCAGUCUUUUGAAGUACAGCAUUAAUUUUAACUGUGAUUUCAUUGCAAAAACAAAUUUGCCAAUGGAAUGCUAUUCGUGUCAUUUAUUUCCCCAGAUCUUCCUAUGAGCUCAUCUCUCUCAUUCAAUUGUCUCUACUCCAAUGUCACUUCCUUGGCUGAAGGAAAAAUCAGUCCUCAUUCCACACACUGCAACCUUGCCUUAGUUGAUUUACAGCACAUAUCGUAUCAUAACCUGACCACAACUACCUCUUGCUUAACUGUUUAUUUUUUCGCUCUCCUCCCAGAAUAUAUCCUAAGACAAAGAAUUGCAUAUUGGCAUCGUAGUUUCCAAUCUAAGCACAUGCGCAAGGGAACUCAGUCUUCCUAGAAAAUCUCCAUAAUAAUAUCAUCAUCCCUGGAUACGGAAACGAAGGC